GGCUGUGUUUGUCAUUUCCAAGUAGCUAGAAACCUAACUUAGCAACAGGGGUCUCUGAUUAAUACCAAACAGGCAAGGCUUUAUUUGAUUAAAUAAAGCUAAUUUGUUGGAUAGGUGGAAAUCUCUCAAAUAUAGGCUGGAGACAGGAGGUGAGCUUGGCGGAGAGACAAAUGGAAAUAGUCUUUCGUGACUUUACGAUAGAGCAUUUCAGCUCUCCUACAUUCAGGCAGUAAAACGUACCUUCAGAAAACCCUAGAGGGAAAGCACUAGUGCCUUCCUAAGGGGGAAGAGUGAAGUUAAUGGUCCAAACUACCACCCUCCUGCAUGCCUGAAAAGGUCAAAUUGUGGCUUCAUCUAAGGCUGGGCAGGCUUCCAAUCAGGCUGCUGAAAGGAUGAAAUUCUGCUUUUUCUAGAAGAAAGAGGACGAAGAAAGGAAUAGCGUCAGUGGGGAAUUUCAUUCCUGGCAGGCCACGAAGUGUUAAAUCCCCUCUUGGUUCCUCCGCCUCAUAUUUGUUUCCUGCAUCUUGUUGAUGGAGCCAGAAGGAGCAGAAGCAGAAACAGCAGGCAGUUACCAGCUGGUGCUGAGCAGCCUCCAGAACAAUGAAGAACCCCUGAGCAUGGCUCUCUCUGGCUUCCAGAACUUUGUGUGUGCAGUUACCCUCUGCCUAAAGCACUCCUGACCCAUCUCUUCACUGCCUUCUCCAGUUCCCAGUUGAAGUGUCACCUCCUUUGGACUCUUCCGUUCGCCUUCCUGAAGCAACUUUCCUUAAGAAGAAAUGCCAGGCAUGCUUGGAUCUAGAUAAAUAAAGCCCACAGCAUUGGGUUUGUGG
rnacentral:lncRNA from 1 species